UGAAAACAAUUUGUAUAGACAAUACAUAUAAUUCCAUAUGAUAUAAUCAUAUAACACAUACUAUACAAAUGUACCACACGUGCACUCAUAAGCACCACGCUCGUUCUGAAGGAUUUACAUGCCUACUCUUAAAUCAGCCUUCAGAAUAAAAAUACGUAUGAACGACAAUUUCAUUCAACACUGCUAUUUAUACACCAACGACUACUGACACACAAAAUAUUUAUAAUUUAUACUAUCUCUAAUUGUACCUUAAGUGCGUGAAAAUAUGUACAAU
rnacentral:lncRNA from 1 species